rnacentral:tRNA from 1 species
GAGGAUAUAGCUCAGUGGUAGAGUGCAUGCCUAGCAAGCACAAGGUCCUGGGUUGAAUUCCUGGUAUACUUC